AUUUAAACAAUUUUUCAAAACAUUUAUAUCUACAUCUUAGUAUAGGUGAUAGAACAGAUUUAUUCUUAGGCACAAUAGAGAGAGUACCGUGAGGGAACGUUGAAAGAUCUAAUCCUGUAAGCAAUAAAAAGCAAAGAUUAAACCUUCUACCUUUUGCAUAAUGAUUUAGCCAGUCUACCCGGACAAAAAGAAUUAAAGCCCGUCUUCCCGAAAUUAAGUGAGCUAUUGUAGAACAGUUGUUAGAACGAACUCGUCUAUGUAGCAAAAUAGUGAGAUGAUUUUACAAUAGAGGUGAAAAGCCUAUCGAACUUAAUGAUAGCUGGUUGUCCAAAAAGCGAAUUUUAGUUCAACUUUAAAUUUAACCCAAGUAUUAAUAAACCAAAUUUAAAUUUAAAAGUUACUCAAAAGGGGGACAACUCUUUUGACAUGUAAACAAACUUGCUUAGUGGGUAAUGAUAUAUACAUAAUACAUUGUAGGCCUAAAAGCAGCCACCAAUUAAGAAAGCGUUAAAGCUCAAACUAGUCUGUUAUUUAAUACCAAUAAUUCAUCAAAACCCCUAAUCCAAUAUUGGACAAUUCUAUUUAUAUUUAGAAGAUAUAAUGCUAAUAUGAGUAACAUGAAUUUAUUCUCCUUGCAUAAGCAUAAAUACGAUCGGAACAACCGCUUACACUUAUACAACCAAAUAAUUAUACCCAUAUACAAGCACCCUAUUACCCUUAUUGUUAACCCAACCCAGGCAUGCAUAAAAGGAAAGAUUAAAAGGAAUAAAAGGAACUCGGCAAACAAAACCCCGCCUGUUUACCAAAAACAUCACCUCUAGCAUUUACCAGUAUUAGAGGCACUGCCUGCCCGGUGAGUUACGACUUUAACGGCCGCGGUAUCCUGACCGUGCAAAGGUAGCAUAAUCACUUGUCUCUUAAUUGGAGACUAGUAUGAAUGGCAUGACGAGGGUUU
rnacentral:rRNA from 1 species